UCAGAAGCUGCUUCACUGAUGUGCUCCAUUUAUCAUAGGAGUCCACCUUCAGAAAUAGAUUUUUCAUAACUGCAGAAAUAGAAAGAGAAGCGGAGAGGUCAGUCCUUGUUAAUUAAAGGCAGCCAGUAACUGAUGUGGACAAUCAUAGAUCUGAGCAAAACCUCACUUGUCUGCUGAUGUACCAUUACUGUGAUUAAUGAUGCAGUACACUUAUACUAACAGUCCGAAUGAGUACAUUAACAUUAUAAAAGUCUUUAGAUGAAGGUUUAUAUUUGACUAUCACUUUUGAUAGCCAGGUGGCUGUUAAGGAGCUGUGUUCGCUGUCAGUAGUUUUAUGCCAGUCGAUGCCAAUCCUUUCCUCUAGGAAGACAGCUUGUAGACGCCAACCCAAGGGUCAUUCUUGAUAUCAAGCUGCAGGUACCAUUGAGAAGUGAUUUGCAUUAACGUCCCUUCCUGCACAACAACCACAGAAGGGAGUGCAGGGAAGCAUGUACGACUCCUUGCUUUGCUUCGUGUUACGCUUCAGAAUAGGAGCGAUCCUCCCUGCAUCUCCCAGCUCCAUACUGUCAGCAAGGCAGCUGCCAUCACGUGUUUCAUUUCAGCUGCUGACCUCAGGCUACCACUGCGCCUUUUGUGUGCGGGGGGUUUCCCAGGCACCAACCUCUACAGCAGUGCUGUACAGGGUGUGUGUGACGGGCCUGAGGCUGCUGGGAAGUGCUGGCGUUACUGUAAAUGUGCAGCCAAUGCAGCACACAGGAGGAUUGGGUGCAGCGUGUUUCCAUUUGGUCUCUGCUCUACGGUCAAAUACACUGAUGGAGAAAGGAAGCUUGAAAAGAAACGCUGAAGUUCCCUUUAUGGAAUUGAAGGUGUGUUCUCUGCAGGUGUUUUUUUUUUUGUUUUUGUUUUGUUUUGUUUUGUUUUUCAGUUUUGAACACUGCCCUACAAAUUGUAUGCAGAAGAAAUACUUUCAUCUCACGCUGUCCUCCACACCAGAGCAGUUUCUCAAUGGAUUAUAUGGGGUUUCAGAAUCUUAUUAUAUGUGGAGAAAUACACAUCUUGCCUGAAGGACAUCUCAGAGAAAACUCUAGGAACAGCUGACAGAUGACAGCGGGGGUCUCAGGGUGGAUUCCUAGUGAACUGCUGAAGAAGGUUGGCAUGAAUUGCAAAGCUGAAGCACAAACCAUAGCAGGAGGGCAGAAGGAAUGUCCCAGUGUUCAGAAUCAGCCUGCUCCAUGGCCAGUAGCUGCAGCAGCACCAGGGAUGGGUGCUGCCAGCCCCUGCCCCCUGAAGCCACGCUCACAGGCUGUCAGCUUCUGCAGCUGAGGAUCUGACCCUUCACCACCACAGAAAGCAGCACCGCAGCCUAGGUGAACUUUGGCAUAUUUUCCUAAUUGAUGUGGAUGAGAUGAAAGGGAAAAUUGACUCCUGUGACCUCCAUAGCAUAAUUGUGUACUGUGUGUUGCGUGAAUGAAGGGGUGUGCCACAGCUGCACAAAUGUGAACUGAUGCCAUUCUACCCUUAACAGCUUUGCUCUGUGUUGUCCAGGUAAACUAACAGCUGUUACCCUUUGCUCCUCUUCUGUCGCUUCCCACAUACCUGGUUUGUUUGCAUGAUGCAGCUUGGUGCGUCUCACAGUUUGGUGCUCAGCAUUGCUGGGAUUUUCAGUCCAUCCGUGCAAUUGUCCAACACAGAGCAGGCAGAGCGCUGGGGCAGGUCCUUACGUGCAUUGCUGUGCUGUAGUCUGCAGGAGGAACGUGUGGAUGUGGGUCUGCAUUGCAGCUCAGAUACUCAUCAGAGCGAUCGGUGCAGGCAGUGUGUAACAUGUAGAACAGGUGCAAACCGCCAUUGCCGUGGGGGUGGAUUCAUUCGAGCUGAUUUUGUGGAUUUCUUUUUCAAUAAAAAAUGAGUGAUACUGCAAAGGCAUUGAGCAUAAUUGGUUUUAUGUUAUAUGUGUGUGAAAGAACUAGACUUCCCGUAUUUUGAUUUAAUUGAGGCUUUUGUGCCUGGCUCUAAACCCAGCUCCUGCCAUAUCUUGCCUUUCACUGAAGGGGCUGGAGCGAUCCACGCCGAAGUGCAUCACUGUACUGCACUGCUUCAGCCAAUUCAAAGUUGAAAUGUUCAUGCUUGUGUUUUAAGUUACGUAUUUAAAGCUCUUUCUUCUAGGAUUGAGAAGGUCAGCACGAGCUGAGCCCCCUUUCCUUGCCCUCGAUUAGGAUAGAGUUUCCCCACUGCGUGGAGGAGCAGAACGGUACUAAUUAUGCUCUUGGAACACUGGCACGUAUUGUAUGUGUGUGCUGGAGCCCCAUUUGUCCUACCCUCAUCUGGUCUGUGGGAAUGUAUGUGACAGUCAAAGGGAUGUUAGAGCUGCGGGAGCAUCAGGCAAAUGGGCUGGAGGUACUGCUCAGGAGAAGGGCUGUCUGAAGGGCUGUCUUGUCAUUCAUGGUACUUAAUAUAGUCAGAAUAUAUUACUUCUCAUCAAGUGAACCUUUGGUGAGAGGUCUGACUCACCUCUUGCGGCUGCUGUUGUGCUGUAGAGCUUUUAGUACAGAUAUACAUACGGUGCAAAUCAGGAUAUACUUCUGGAAGCAUCCUAAAUGCUGAAAUAUAUAAUACACACACAUAAAUGCACAUAUUAUGUAUGUGAGUAUAUGUGUAUUUAUAUAAGGGCUUCCACCACAGUAUGUACAGAUCCAGUCAGAGAAACUGGAAAUAUGAGUUUGUGCUGGCAUUGUUAGAACAGCAGCACCUUGUAGUUUCAGCAGCACAAGCCGGUGUGCGUUACUGCUGAUGCAAAUGUUAUGCUUGAAGAGUUGGGUUCAAUACCUAUUGUGUUCAGAGAGAGCCUUUCCUGUGCGUUGCGUCAAACUUUAGUUUCUAACUGAAGGUAGCUGUAGCUAGAAGCCAGUUCAAGUGCCUGUGGACUUCUUUGAUAUGUGGAGUGUGUUAUAAAAUAAGUAAUGGUGGGAAGGAAGGGCUUGUGUUUGGCAGAAUGGGCUUCCUGCUCUAGAAACAGUAUCACUUAUGUCUUAGCACUGUAAAUCUUAGCUAUCAGUUAAGGCAAGAUCUGUCUGUGGCCAAUGCGAGGUGGGAACUGCUGCAGAGAUUGAAACACCGGAGCAGGGCGUUCCGGGCGGGGGAUUGGUUUGGGAAGGUAAGGGCACGCGUUGUGCAGGGAGCAAGGAGGGGCCGAAGCGCUCCGUGUGAGCAGCUGGCUCAGGCACAUCAAGCUGCAUGGGAGGUCUGUUUAAAACCACUUUGUUUAGCAGAAAAGCAACAAUUAGGAUUAGAAGCAGUUUGUCUGUGAACAUCUAGGAUUAAUUUCCUGGCUCUGACUUCAUGUUGGCAUCUGCAUUGUGAAAGAAUUAGAGCCAAACUUUGGUCAAACAUCUGCAGAGUAUCUAGAAAGUAGCAGAAGUGUCUCUGUAUGGGAUCUCUGGCUGGGGUCUGUGAGCUCACUGAACUUUUCCCGUUGUCAGGGUGGGCUGUGACAUGUGCCUCUGGUUACGCCUGGCUGUGGAACUACAUUUCCUAAUAGCUGGGAAGCCCUAUAAUGGUGCAACACUCUUCUUCAGUUGCUCCACGUAUGGAGAGAAUUCUAGAAGCAAUUCCAGAAACAUGAUGUUGGGUUACGUCCAUUGGCUUCCCCUGUGGCCUCUCCCUUCCCCACACAGCUCAGCUCAGGUGCUUUCUUCCAGAGCACAGCCCCUGUUUUUAUUUGCACUGUGGCCCUGCAAGAGCUGCACAUGCCUUGGUUUUUUGCUGUCCUGUUCCAUCUGCAUUCCUUACAUUGGCUGCCUACAUAGCAUGAGCUAAUUUAAACCAGUAGUUCUGAUUUUUAAAGCACUUAAUAGCAAUAAAGCUUGGCUAUAUUUGAAGAUCAUCUUCAACCUUCACUUUCUGGGCAUCCAUGGCUGGUUCAUUGCUUACUGUUUCUUGCUGGCCUGCUCUAAAUUUGGAGAUAUGCACCUUUGCCAGGGUGCAGCUUGCUUUGUCCCUCACCCUGCUGAAACAGCUUCUUGUUAUUUUUAGUGUGUGAUGGGAUUUGAUUACUAACAGCUUGAUAGCUUUUUUCUCUCCUUUUUUCAAGCUGUCUGACAGGAAUGGACCAAAUGCUGUCAGUAUUCUCGUUAAUGAAUUUACAGCCGCUCAGUGAUGGAGCGCUGUGCAUUUGGAGGGGCUUUGGGCAAUGAGCCCUGCUUGCUGCACAGGAACAUAAGGAAGAGCAGCUCCUCUCUGGAAGUCUGUAAGUACAGAAACUCCCAUUUAGGAGAGCAGUUUGUGUUUAACAUGUUUGUAUUCUGACCUUCCUGGGUCUCCACAUGCCCAAGGCCUUACCCUGCAGAUGAGUAUGUGCUUGGCAGAUGGGUGACUCGGCCAUCAGCCCCCGCUGCUCUGCCACGGUGCAGCCAUUGUGUCUUGUGGAGGGGUGGAUAAGUGGAUCUGCUGCCCCUUCCCCAUGAGGGCUGUGAGUCCAUCGCCUGCGGGAGCUCGGGCCACAUCACUGUGGCUCUCAGGGAAUGACAGUGCUUUCACACCCAUCUUCCAAUUGCAAAACCUCGUUCCUUAUGGAUGGGCCAAGUGGGUGCAUCGUGUCACAGCCAAAUGGGAGCUGUGUACCGGAGGAGGGCAUGUGGGCUUUGGUGCUGUCAGCCAGUACCUGUGUGGAGUUCUGUAUGCCAGGCAGGAUGCAGGCAGAAGCGUGGCUGAGAUUUUCUUACAAUGAAAAGCUUUUUAUGGGGCAAAGGACAAGUACAUAGAAAGGAAGUGAAGCGCUCUGGUCUUGGGCUUCUGAUGCAGAGUCAAGAAGAAAUUGUGGAAAUAUUGGAAAUGGAGAAUGGCAACAAGUUAAAUUGCAUCCUAGUCUUGUGUGGAAGUGUGAAACUGCUGCAAAACACCCAGCUCUCACAGCUCUGUUGACUCCAAUGAGAUGCACACAGCUAAGUGAGUUGGUAUGAACUCAUCAGGCGGACAGGGAGCAGAGCAGAUCUUUAUGAACGUAAGCACAUUGGGCAAUAACUGAAAUGCCUGAAAAUCGUCACAGCACUGAUAGGUGUGAAUUUAUGCCAACUCGCAAAGAAGUACAUUUUGUAUCUUAAUUAUCGAGGAGCAGAUGAUUAUGUUGUGUUGUAUCACUGGGGGGGGGGAUGAGAUUAGAAGCCUGGGGAAUGAGAAUAUCAUUAGAAAAGCAAAGAUGAUGAUAUUUGCUUUGGGAAAAAAGUCCGUAAGAGGUUGGCAUUGCACUGCAGUUACAGCAACAACUGCAGCCAGCAGCUGAGUGCCCGCUCCCACACUGCGCUCUGUUCAAACAACGAUCACUGUGCAUUUCUGGGAUUAGGUGCUAAAUGGAUUACUGGGAAAUUCUCAAAAUAAAAAUGCGUAAUCCCUUUACAAAAUAUAGCUGACAAUUGAGAAGCACCACUUUAGUGGGUGAUUUUUAUAUUUUUUUAGAUUUUUGGCAUUAAAAAUAGAAUAUAGGUCAUUCUGCCUAGCUCAACUGUUUUGAUUAUUGUGUUAGAUAAAGAAAGGGGAUAUUCACAUUAUAAUAUGUGCCAAAGCUAAUAUUUACCUUGUAUAGCACAUAAAGGCAGAAUUGCACUGAGUGAAACUGAGAGCGGAAGAGAACAAACUCUUCUCAGAGUCCACUGUAGACAGAACAAAUAUUAAUGGAUUUAAAUCGCUCUAAUGCAGUCAGGAAAGAUACCAGGAAAAAAAAUCUGUCAGUGAUAGAGAAGUGAGGCAUGGGAGGGGUAGCAGAGGGAUCCCUCGGAACUGCUCUUGCUGGUAAGCAUUAACCCACUUCUUGGCAGGGUUCACCUGCAGCAGAGCUGCUCUGGGACAGUAAGUCAGUCCUUUCCACUCUCAUUUUUCUAAUGCUUUUAAUAAGGCUGAGUUUAAUAAGGUGUGAGUUUAAUCUCCCACACAUCGUCUUUGCCACUUGAAGAUGCUGCUCCCCAGCUCAGCCGCUUGUUUGUGCAUGUAGCUGUGCAGCAGCUCAUGUUGCUCUGGGGUGAAGACAGCACUGCUGGCACUGCACAGCUGCUGCUCCCUGCUCUGCAUGGUGAGGGGAUGGAGCACGCUGAGUUCCAGCACCCGCAGCUGCCACAGAGGAAUCAAGAUGGAAAGGAAGAGGUGAGGCUGAAUUCUCCUCUAUGUUAGCCACUUUAUUUCUUUUCCCAUUACAUGAGAAAUACGAAAGUUUGAGACACCAAGAAGCAGGGAUAGCAGAGAGAGGACAGACACUGCGCAACACUGGGGUGAGAACAUCAGAACGUAAUGAGCCUGUAAUGUGGGGACUUCCUGACUGCUACCACAGUGGGAAAGGAGGGGUGAGCACAAGGGGGUAAGCUGGAAACUCAGAUUGGCCAUUUACAGUACACAGUUUAUGUAGAAAAAUAUGGUUCUCAAGAAGUUUUCUUUUUCUGCAGUCCCAGCAUUAAUGAGCCCAUUGGCUUGUAUACUCUGAUGACCAUCACUACUUUCUUUGGGUUGGAGGGGGAGAAAACAUAUCAUCAGAAAAGAUAUGCUCCAGCUUAGGAAGAGAAUACACAUGCACCUCCUCAAGCCAAGGCGCUUCCACUGCCUGCUGGAGCCAGUGAUGCAUCACACAGCGUGCCCAGCAACAACCACAGGGAGACAUUCAGCAUCCAUCACCCCCACCUGUGUGGACAGGCAGGGGACAGCAACAGGAUGGGCAGAGAGAGGCUGGGAUGGGGGCAGUGGGUGCCAGCUGGGGGCUGCUGCCACACAUGACUGCAGAAGCAGCGCAAAUGGUGAACUGAAGAGGCAGCCUGCUGCCCUGCAAGCAGCAGUCCUGGAACAGCAUGGCCAUGCUACAGCAUGAGCAGCUGGAGCAGCCGUGUGACAUGCAGGCUUGGGUUAAUGCUGGAGAUAUCAUUAAAUGAGUAAUUAAGAAGCGGAUCCUCUCCCUUCCCAUCACUUCACCUGCUCUUAAUAGAACAGCUUCUCAACAGCCUUCCCUGUGGGGAAUGUCUAUGUUAUCAUUAAGUCUGUCGGGUGUAUUUUAGAGGUAAAAAUAUUUCUGAAAACACUGCCUUGUUAUGUCUGUGCAGUAAAACAAAAGGAAGUGAAAAGUGACAAAUGCAUUAAGAGAAUUAAGUCAGAAUAAAGAACAAAACUUCCUUUUCUGCCACUUGGGCUGUGCAGGCUGCUUCGUGUGCUGGGAGGCCUGAUGAGCAAAGCCAAGGAAUUCCAGGCCAGAAAGCCCCCUCUCCUCCUAGGAAUUAUCUGCUCUUAUUCCCAGGUAUUUUUAUGUGACUCUUAGCUCAAGCCCUUACAUGUGUUGGCAAAUUCUGCCAGUCUUUCCAUCCUUUGAUAGCUGUAGGACAUAUUCCUUUUUUUGUAGUAAGACCAGGGCUUCACCCAUUGAGCCAUUGCUCCCAAACCUCUGUUCUGGAGCACAGCCCAACACAGAACACAAGGGUGAAACAUUUCAAGCCAUUUACACAUAUGUGAAAGAAGCAGGGUAAAAUGUAAUGAAAAGGUUCCAAGUUUCUGAUUGUGCUUUAUGGUAUUGGCUACACAUUCAUUUUAACAUCCAAAAUUAGUCUGUAAGCGAGCAGAAGCGGCUGAAACACGAGACCAAAGGAAUUACCUAGUGAGUCAUCAAAGUGCUUUAUUUUAUAAAGCCUUGCUCAUGGUUGGAGUGUAAUCUAAGCACUAACAUAUACAAUAAUGAGACUUCCUUGCCCUGUCCAAAUAAACAGUUUAUCAACAAUAAUGAGUGACAAAACUGCUACACAGACAAAAAGUGGUACAUUUCUAAAAUGGUCUAAAAAUGUACACUGAUUGGCUGCAAUGGUACCUCAUUUUGACUUCAGGGUCUUGCUGCGGCCUCACGCUUCAGGAAGCCACAGGAAAUGAAACUCUGGUGAUAAAUGCAGACAAUGGGGGAAUACGGGAAAGGACAACAAAAUAUCAAGCCACAGUACCAACUUAUUUAAAUACAUACAAUACAAAAGUAUACACAUACAUUACAGUGCUGCAGACAUCACUAAGUCAAACGUAACAAAAAAUCCUGUAGGGAAGGUAGAGGAAAGGAGAAAAGAAUUAGUACACAGCAACAGGGAUAGCAUUGCCUUUGGCCACCAAAGAGUGUGAUGGGCUGCUAUCUAUAGGCUCCUUGGAAGUAAAAUGUAUGUUAUGCACAGGUGCAGGCUGAGUAGCACUGAUGUUAGUAAUGGAGAAGGCAUGCUGGCACUCCUGAUCUCUGUUAGAAAUGAUGAUGGGGAGGGCUUGACUUCCUUUAGAUCGCCUACAAAAUCUAACAAUUUCAAUAAAGAAAUUUCAAAGGCACAGCUUUAGCACAGUGUAUAAGUAGAUAAACUUUAAGCGUAUGUAAAUUUGUCUUUCAAGCAUGGAAUCUUCCAGGGAAAAAAUACAAGAAGAGCAGAAAUACAAUGUCGUCGUUUAAAAAUUCUAAACAAGUUAAACAUGAUCAGCACAGUUUUAGGCAAUGCACUGUACAAUCAGAUUUGAGUACACGGCAGGACAGGUCGUUUUGGUGAUAAAAGACGUCCUUGGGAAAAAUCCCUCUGCAAUAUCCUUCCUCAUUUUAUUGUAAGAGUCUGCCGGGGCGAGUGAGACAUUCACCGUAGUACAUGGCUGCACAUUACGCUUGGAGGGUGACGAACAUACUUCAUCUGUACUGCAAAAUAACUUUACAUGUAAACUUAAAAGUCAUAUAUUGUACACAGCUCUAAAAUUCAGAAAUAUCCCUGCUUUCCUAAUAAUGUAAACAGUAAAAUCCGGGGUUCAUUUUUAGAGGGAUAAUCUAUCAUAAAAUACUGCUGUUUAAGCAGUACAAUGUAAGCAUCCGAACUUCAAAUUCCCAUUAAAUUACAAAAGAAUGGAGUUUCUAUCCGCGCGCACGUCUUGUGGGUGAGAGACACAGCUACUAUUGCCCAGAACUAUGCACUUCUUCAGAUAAGCUUCUUUCCACUUCAACAUUAUUAGUUCCUAUACGGCAAGAAUAUAAAACAAAUGACAACUUCGGGUAACAAAGUGAAAUAAGCAAGGUUUUCCCUUAAUGUAAGUUCACGGUAGCAAAAAUGUACACACAGCAUGAAUUACACGUUAGCUCUCUGUAAGGUAGGAGACAUCAGCUCCUGGUGCCUGAGAGCAUGGACUGCCCUAUGUGAUGUGUGGAGGAAAAGGAAGAAAUGGGAGAAAAGGGAAAAAAAAAAACCAACAAAAAACCCCCAACU